AACGAACGCUGGCGGCAUGCCUAACACAUGCAAGUCGAACGCUAUUUAUAGAGUGGCGCACCGGGUGAGUAACGCGUGGGAACCUGCCGUUUUUCUGCGGGAUAACGGUUGGAAACGACCGCUAAUACCGCAUACGCCCUUCGGGGGAAAGGUCCGCCCGGAAAAAGAGGGGCCCGCGUCUGAUUAGCUUGUUGGUAGGGUAAUGGCUUACCAAGGCGACGAUCAGUAGCUGGUCUGAGAGGAUGAUCAGCCACACUGGGACUGAGACACGGCCCAGACUCCUACGGGAGGCAGCAGUGGGGAAUAUUGGACAAUGGGGGCAACCCUGAUCCAGCAAUGCCGCGUGUGUGAUGAAGGCCUUAGGGUUGUAAAGCACUUUCACUGGUGAAGAUGAUGACGGUAACCAGAGAAGAAGCCCCGGCUAACUUCGUG
rnacentral:rRNA from 1 species